AGCGAAAUUUAGUAGCGAAGUAGCUGAUUUCACACUGUCAAGAAAAGUCUCUAUCGAGGUUAAAGGUACCCGUACCGCAAACCGACACAGGUGGGUGAGGAGAGUAUCCUAAGGCCAGCGAGAGAACUGUUGUUAAGGAACUCGGCAAAAUGACCCCGUAACUUAGGGAUAAGGGGUGCCACCAUCAGGUGGCCGCAGAGAAUAGGCCCAAGCGACUGUUUACCAAAAACAUAGGGUUCUGCUAAGUCGCAAGACGAUGUAUAGGAGCUGACGCCUGCCCGGUGCUGGAAGGUUAAGGGGAUCUGUUAGAGCAAUCGAAGCAGUGAACUUAAGCCCCAGUAAACGGCGGCCGUAACUAUAACGGUCCUAAGGUAGCGAAAUUCCUUGUCGGGUAAGUUCCGACCCGCACGAAAGGCGUAACGAUUUGGGCACUGUCUCA
rnacentral:rRNA from 1 species